rnacentral:rRNA from 1 species
GAUGAACGCUGGCGGCGUGCCUAAUACAUGCCAGUCGAGCGAACGGACGAGAAGCUUGCUUCUCUGAUGUUAGCGGCGGACGGGUGAGUAACACGUGGAUAACCUACCUAUAAGACUGGGAUAACUUCGGGAAACCGGAGCUAAUACCGGAUGAUAUUUUGAACCGCAUGGUUCAAAAGUGAAAGACGGUCUUGCUGUCACUUAUAGAUGGAUCCGCGCUGCAUUAGCUAGUUGGUAAGGUAACGGCUUACCAAGGCAACGAUGCGUAGCCGACCUGAGAGGGUGAUCGGCCACACUGGAACUGAGACACGGUCCAGACUCCUACGGGAGGCAGCAGUAGGGAAUCUUCCGCAAUGGGCGAAAGCCUGACGGAGCAACGCCGCGUGAGUGAUGAAGGUCUUCGGAUCGUAAAACUCUGUUAUUAGGGAAGAACAUAUGUGUAAGUAACUGUGCACAUCUUGACGGUACCUAAUCAGAAAGCCACGGCUAACUACGUG